ACGCUCGACACCUACGGGAGCAGCAGUGGGGAAUAUUGCACAAUGGGGGAAACCCUGAUGCAGCGACGCCGCGUGGAGGAAGAAGGUCUUCGGAUUGUAAACUCCUGUUGUUGGGGAAAAAGAGGAUGGUACCCAACAAGGAAGUGACGGCUAACUACGUCGCCAGUAGCCGCGGUAAUCUGAGCGGGCUGGCAAGGC
rnacentral:rRNA from 1 species